AAGGGUAUAGCUCAAGUGGUAGAGCAAAUGCUUAGGAUGCAUGAGGUGCUGGGUUCAAUACCCACUACCUCUU
rnacentral:tRNA from 1 species